UACGUAGGGGCGCAAGCGUUUAUCCGGAAUUAUUGGGCGUAAAGGGCUCGUAGGCGGUUUGUCGCGUCGGGAGUGAAAUCCACUGGCUUAACUGGUGGCUUGCUUUCGAUACGGGCAGACUGGAGGUAUGCAGGGGAGAACGGAAUUCCUGGUGUAGCGGUGAAAUGCGCAGAUAUCAGGAGGAACACCGGUGGCGAAGGCGGUUCUCUGGGCAUGUCCUGACGCUGAGGAGCGAAAGUGUGGGGAGCGAACAGG
rnacentral:rRNA from 1 species